rnacentral:rRNA from 1 species
AUUGAACGCUGGCGGAAUGCUUUACACAUGCAAGUCGAACGGCAGCACGGACUUCGGUCUGGUGGCGAGUGGCGAACGGGUGAGUAAUGUAUCGGAACGUGCCCAGUCGUGGGGGAUAACGUAGUGAAAAUUACGCUAAUACUGCAUACGAUCUAUGGAUGAAAGCGGGGGAUCGCAAGACCUCGCGCGAUUGGAGCGGACGAUAUCAGAUUAGGUAGUUGGUGGGGUAAAGGCCCACCAAGCCAACGAUCUGUAGCUGGUCUGAGAGGACGACCAGCCACACUGGAACUGAGACACGGUCCAGACUCCUACGGGAGGCAGCAGUGGGGAAUUUUGGACAAUGGGCGAAAGCCUGAUCCAGCCAUUCCGCGUGCAGGAUGAAGGCCCUCGGGUUGUAAACUGCUUUUGUACAGAACGAAAAGGUUUCUACUAAUACUAGGAGUUCAUGACGGUACUGUAAGAAUAAGCACCGGCUAACUACGUGCCAGCCGCCGCCGUAA